CUUCUCGUUCGUACCCAAAUCCCGUGGCCUGAGGCAGCGCAUGAACAGAUUUUUCCAGAGGGCGGCGACGGCGGCGGCGGCGGCCCAGAUCCCCUUCUCGAAGCUAGUCGAAUACUCCCUCCCCCGGAUCUCUCAAUGGUUCCUUGCCGUUGUGUGGCUGGCGACCCAGUUUGAGGCGGACCAGAUCGGAGUUCGUCAGCCGCCAACCUCCGCCCCACAUUGUUCUCGUCGCAGCCUCCCUUCUGAAGGUCUGAUAGCUCUAGGUCUAUGCAUGCUCGUGCAAGCUUUAACCUCGCGUGAAACUGGAGCCUAUGUUCCUAUUUUCUGAAGCUAGGUAGAUUGAACUGAUAGACGUAUAAGAGUCCAUGGAGGUUGUCAUCUCUGACAGCAGAUGAAGCUCGAUUACCAGGAAGCACUAAAACAGGAGGCAAACUGAUAGAUCUUUCUCUCAUGUACUAUCAAGAUGCUUGUUGGGCAGUGAUAAUUUCAGUCCUUAACACUUGGUCCUGCCGGCCAUGUACUAAAAAUGAUCUAUGUAUAUGUCUCUUGUGUUACGUUCUCAUGUACUCAAAUACUAUUUCGGUCCUUAAGUUGCUCAUGCACUCGGAUACUUCCAUUUUGACAUGUAUAUGUAUCUGGGAUGGCUUAGUUCUCCCUUGUGCUGAA